CUCAUACUCUGGAUUGCCAGGAAAGGGAACCGCAAGGAUCUCGCUAAAUGAUGGGGAUAAGUCGCAUCAGCCAAUGAAUAGUGAGGUAAUGGCUCACUAAGGCGAAGACGCGUAGCCAGACUGAGAGGUUGAUUGGCCACAGGGGAACUGAAACACGGAUCCCACCGAAAGGGCAGCAGUGAGGAAUUGUCGACAAUGGGGGAAACCCUGAUCGCUGUAAUACUACGUGAAGGAUGAAGGUCUACGGAUUGUAAACUUCUAUGUGUAUGUUGGGAUACAUACACUGAAAAAGUCACGACUAACUAUGUGCCAGCAGUCGCGGUAAGACAUAGGUGGCGAACGUUAUCCGGAAUUAUUGGGCGUAAAGGAUGCGUAGAUGGUAGAAUAAGUUACUGGUCGAUGCCAAACUCAAUUUGACGGAAGCUGGUAAUACUAUUCUGCUAGAGGACAGGAGAGGUUGAUGGAAUUCUGUGUGGAGCGGUGAAAUGCGUUGAUCUACAGAGGAACACCAAAAAAGGCGAAGGCAUUCAACUAUUCUGUUCCUGACAUUGAGGCAUGAAAGCGUGGGGAGCAAACCGGAUUAGAUACCUGGGUAGUCCACGCCCUAAACGAUGAGCAUUAGAUAUUAGGCAUAUGCUUAGUGUCGCAGCUAACGCUUUAAAUGCUCCGCCUGAGUACUACGGCCGCAAGGCUAAAACUCAAAGGAAUUGACGGGGACCCGCACAAGCGGUGGAGCAUGUGGUUUAAUUCGAUACGACGCGCAGAACCUUACCAAGGCUUGACAUGGAGGGCAAAGUUGAAGAAACUCAACGGAGGUUAUCCCGACACAGGUGGUGCAAGGUCGUCGUCAGUUCGUGCUGUGAAGUUUAUGCUUAAGUGCCAUAACGAACGCAACCCUCAUAUUUAGUUGCUACCAUUCAGUUGAGAACUUUAAAUAGACUGCCAAGGAAACUUGGAGGAAGGAGAGGAUGACGUCUGAUCCUCAUGCCCCUUAUGCCUUGGGCUACACACGUGCUAUAAUGGUUAGGACAAAGGGUCGCCAACCCGCAAGGGGGAGCCAAUCCCAAAAAACUAACCCAAGUUCGGAUUGGAGUCUGCAACUCGACUCCAUGAAGUCAGAAUCGCUAGUAAUCGUGAAUCAGCAAUGUCACGGUGAAUAUGUUCUCGGGUCUUGUACACACCGCCCGUCAAGUCACGAAAGUCGGGAAUGCCUGAAACCAACUAAUGUUGACAAGGGUAGGCUUGGCGAUUGGGAUUAAGUCGUAACAAGGUAGCCGUAG
rnacentral:rRNA from 1 species